rnacentral:rRNA from 1 species
CCGGAUUUAUUGGGUUUAAAGGGUGCGUAGGCGGAUUAAUAAGUCAGCGGUGAAACUCACAGGCUCAACCUGUGCCGUGCCGUUGAAACUGUUUAUCUCGAAUGCGGAUGCUGUGGGAGGAAUGUGUAGUGUAGCGGUGAAAUGCAUAGAUAUUACACAGAACACCGAUUGCGAAGGCAUCUCACAAAGCCGUGAUUGACGCUGAGGCACGAAAGUGUGGGGAUCAAACAGGAUUAGAUACCCUGGUAGUCCACUACUGUAAACGAUGAUAACUCGCUGCCGGCGAUAUAUAGUCGGUGGCCCAGCGAAAGCGAUAAGUUAUCCACCUGGGGAGUACGACCGCAAGGUUGAAACUCAAAGGAAUUGACGGGGGCCCGCACAAGCGGAGGAACAUGUGGUUUAAUUCGAUGAUACGCGAGGAACCUUACC